CUGUCCACAAGCAUGGGGAAUAUCUUUGCAAACCUCUUCAAGGGCCUUUUUGGCAAAAAAGAGAUGCGCAUCCUCAUGGUGGGCCUGGAUGCUGCCGGAAAGACGACAAUUCUGUACAAACUGAAGCUGGGGGAGAUCGUGACCACCAUCCCCACCAUAGGUUUCAACGUGGAGACUGUGGAGUAGAAGAACAUCAGCUUCACUGUGUGGGAUGUGGGCGGCCAGGACAAGAUCCAGCCGCUGUGGCGCCACUACUUCCAGAAUACCCAAGGCUUGAUCUUCGUGGUGGACAGCAAUGACAGAGAGCGUGUCAAUGAGGCCCGUGAAGAGCUCAUGCGGAUUCUGGUGGAGGAUGAGCUCCAGGAUGCUGUCCUCCUGGUGUUUGCCAACAAGCAGGCCCUCCCCAAUGCCGUGAAUGCUGCUGAAAUCACAGACAAGCUGGGGCUGCACUCUCUACGCCACAGGAACUGGUACAUUCAGGCCACCUGUGCCACCAGCGGGGACAGGCUCUAUGAAGGACUGGACUGGCUGUUCCACUCAGCUCCGGAACCAGAAGUGAACCAGAACUCCCCUUCCCCCUCACUUCCUCCUCUCCGCCCUCAGCUUUCCUCUCAUGUGGCA